UACGUAGGGUGGAGGCGUUAAUCGGAAUUACUGGGCGUAAAGCGUGCGCAGGCGGUUUGCUAAGACAGGUGUGAAAUCCCCGGGCUUAACCUGGGAACUGCGCUUGUAACUGGCAAGCUUGAGUGUGGCAGAGGGAGGUGGAAUUCCACGUGUAGCAGUGAAAUGCGUAGAGAUGUGGAGGAACACCGAUGGCGAAGGCAGCCCCCUGGGCUAACACUGACGCUCAUGCACGAAAGCGUGGGGAGCAAAAAGG
rnacentral:rRNA from 1 species